rnacentral:rRNA from 1 species
CAAGAGUUUGAUCCUGGCUCAGGAUGAACGCUGGCGGCGUGCCUAAUACAUGNNNNNNNNACGCGAGCAGCAAUGCUCGAGUGGCGAACGGGUGAGUAAUACAUAAGUAACCUGCCCUAGACAGGGGGAUAACUGCUGGAAACGGCAGCUAAGACCGCAUAGGUAUGGACACUGCAUGGUGACCAUAUUAAAAGUGCCAAGGCACUGGUAGAGGAUGGACUUAUGGCGCAUUAGCUGGUUGGUGAGGUAACGGCUCACCAAGGCGACGAUGCGUAGCCGACCUGAGAGGGUGACCGGCCACACUGGGACUGAGACACGGCCCAGACUCCUACGGGAGGCAGCAGUAGGGAAUUUUCGGCAAUGGGGGGAACCCUGACCGAGCAACGCCGCGUGAAGGAAGAAGGAAUUCGUUCUGUAAACUUCUGUUAUAAAGGAAGAACGGCGGAUAUAGGGAAUGAUAUCCGAGUGACGGUACUUUAUGAGAAAGCCACGGCUAACUACGUGCUAGCAGCCGCGGUAAGAACCUAG